ACUGCUCAGUAACACGUGGACAACCUACCCUUAGGUCGGGGAUAAACCCGGGAAACUGGGUAUAAUACCGGAUAGGUCUCGAAUGCUGGAAUGCAUCGAGGCUGAAAGCUCCGGCGCCUAAGGAUGGGUCUGCGGCCUAUCAGGGUAGUAGUGGGUGUAAUGUACCUACUAGCCUACGACGGGUACGGGUCGUGAGAGCGAGAGCCCGGAGAUGGAUUCUGAGACACGAAUCCAGGCCCUACGGGGUGCAGCAGGCGCGAAAACUUUACAAUGCUGGAAACAGCGAUAGGGGGACUUUGAGUGCCAGGAUACAAUUCUGGCUGUCGUCGUGCCUAAAAAGCACGGCAUAGCAAGGGCCGGGCAAGACCGGUGCCAGCCGCCGCGGUAACACCGGCGGCUCGAGUGGUAACCGCUAUUAUUGGGUCUAAAGGGUCUGUAGCCGGCUGAAAAAGUCUCUUGGGAAAUCCGGCAGCUUAACUGUCGGGCUUUCAGGAGAUACUCUUCGGCUCGAGACCGGGAGAGGUGAGAGGUACUUCAUGGGUAGGGGUGAAAUCUUGUAAUCCUUGAAGGACCACCAGUGGCGAAGGCGUCUCACCAGAACGGAUCUGACGGCAAGGGACGAAAGCUAGGGGCACGAACCGGAUUAGAUACCCGGGUAGUCCUAGCCGUAAACGAUACUCGCUAGGUGUCGGCCACGGUGCGACCGUGGUCGGUGCCGUAGGGAAGCCGUGAAGCGAGCCACCUGGGAAGUACGGCCGCAAGGCUGAAACUUAAAGGAAUUGGCGGGGGAGCA
rnacentral:rRNA from 1 species